GGCUGGAGUGCAGUGGCGCAUCCUGGCUCACUGCAAGCUCCACCUCCCGGAUUCACGCCAUUCUCCUGCCUCAGCCUCCCAAGUAGCUGGGACUACAGGAACCUGCCACUACACCCAGCCUCAACUGAAUAGCAGAGAGAUUUUGGCUUUCAUUCCAGAAUGAUGUCUCACAGAAAGUCAACUCGUGUUCCAGGGCACGAGUAAAGAUAUCAACCCAUCUAUCUGUAGAAAAUUGCCAGAAACUGUCACAAAAUAAAAAAUGAGAGAAGGCCUGAAUUACGACAGUCCUGGUGGGGUUCUACAAGGCAGCAUGAGGGAGAGGAGAGAGGACUAUUUUACCAAGAUUUUAAGACUUUCAAACAACCAGGGAAGGCUUCUGUGGACAGGCUGUCUCUGCACUAGGACUAAAGAACCAGAACUGUUCAGAAAGAGAGAAGAGCCCAGCACCUUAUACUCAGGAGAUACUGAAAAACAUCAUAUAAGGUGUUUACUGUUGAGAGAAAAGUACACAUCAGAGGAUGCCCAUUAUUGAUAUAGAGCCUUCUCUGUAUCUGGAUGAACGUGACCAGGAAGCCACCCUCAGCCUGCUGCAGCUGUUUUCAGAAUCUGUGGGAUCACACCCCAGAGGCAGUUGGGUCAGCCGCAGGCAUCAGGUGAGGAGGAGGAAGAGUGAGACAGCUAUUACAGGCUGCCGGACCAGGUGGCUGUGAAGAGGUGUGGGGACACCAAGGCUUAUAUAAGGAGGAUGGAGAACACAGGCCAAAGGGGAGGCUGUAAUGCUGACUUCGAUUGGCUAACUUAAUAUAAGGCAGACUGAGGGAGGAGGAGGAGGGCAGGAGAGAACACGCUUUAGAAAGCAUGACGGUGUCUCAUUCUGUUUGCAAGUGAGCACGUAGGUGCCUUCCAAAUAUGAUCCUGAAGAAGGUGCAGAUAAAUGAAAAAUUGGAUAUACAAUAAACCACAUACCUCUUUAUGUUUAUAUAUGAACAUAUUAAAGAAGGUUGGCUUUAGUAGAGUAUGAUGCAUAUUCUAAUUAUAUCAAUAUUGGAUGCAUUGUUAGUACCAUUUCUCAACUUCAUUUAAAAAUCACUUUCAGAAAAUACAAAAAAUAAUUCUGAAGAUUUUAACCUUAGGUGCCCGUAGAUCAUUUUCUUAGGAAACUGCAGCUUUUAGAAAUGCUGGACAUACUUUAUCCAAAGCGUUAUAACUGGUCUUCCACAAGCCUAGGAUAAAGUUUUCCACAGAAACACUACUACAGAAAAAUGCCACAUGCCAUGGAUUAAACACUGAAACCAGCUAAUCACAACACAUGAGAGCAAAUGUAGCAUGUUCAGAGAAGUACAAAUAUGUUGAAACAUGUCUGUCAUGAAAUCUGAUCUUAACAAUCCUCUGAAGACUAGCCUUUUUGCAAAGAGAACUUAUGACUAAUAUACCUCACGGAGGGGGUCUCAGUUUCUAAUAGAGUUAAUUUUAUCUGCUUUGAUGAUGGAAACGAAAGACACCCUGGAAACAUCCUCUUAAUUCUAAGCACCAUCCACUCUUUUUGAGGGGGGAGAGGGAAGCUUUCAGUAAUUCCCAGUGUGUCUUAUACUGAAUAUAUAGAAGAUGGUAAAGCAGGGCCAGGUAAUUCCAACACUUAAACUGCUACUUAACCAUCCACAUAUUAAAGGAGUUUACAUGGAUUGUCAGCUAUGAAAGAGGUUUCUCAAUCUAUAUCCCACUCCACAGUCAACUCUCCUCACAGGUGCUCUUGGCUGUGGGGCACUCAUAAUCUCAGAAGCCGAUAAGGCUGCCAAGUUCAAGUUGCCGUGACUCUGAACACAGUAUAAUAUUCCCAUUCCAAGCCAUAGCCCGUCACUUUUGUGGCUGUUCAGAUGAGGGCCCUUCUUGGUACCACUCUGACUCACAUACACUGGCUGAAGUCAUGUAGCAGGUGAAGGACUUAAGUGUCACUAAGUUGGUUUCCAGUUGCUUCCAGGAAAAAAAAAAAAAAUCCCCGGCAUAUAAGAUUCUUGCUCCUGACACCUGGCACUUUCUCCUUGUGUUCAUGGCUGCAGACAGAAGAUCUGGCCAUUACUGUUUUGGCUUCAAGUGCUGCCUCCCACACACAUAUUGAGGGGCUCUGCAACAAACAGAAACCUAGGGACACUGACAUUUUGGAGGCAGGGUGUAGAAAAAAACACUGUAUGUGUAUCUGAAAACUCUGCCAUGCAUGUCAGCCCUGACACGCCACUUCCUAGCUCUUCUAACGUCAGAACAUUCUGUGUUAGGAGUUGCUAAUCAGUCCAAUAUCAUAUGUAGUUUAACGGUGUUGAAACACAUUUGCCAGAAAGGAGGCCAAAAGGAAGGGCCCCUCUACUGCUAUCUUCUGCAAAAGAUCUGAUCACUUGUGACUGCAGCCCCUCACUUUGCCCCCAGGUGUUUUCUCCCUGUGUUGUUCUUGGGCGUGUUUAAUUUGGAUUGAGCAUCCAUGGAGCUGUGUAAACAUUGAGGUCCCAUGAAUAUUGCAAUAUUAAACAGCAGUGGUAAUUACCAAUAGACCCCUCAAAAAGCAAUCGAAUAGCAAACUCACCUUAACUUGGCCUUUGUAUCUCUGGCAACGGAAAGCUCAAAAUGCAGUUCUGUCAUUUUUGCACAGUCAUUUACCUUGACACCCUCCCUCUGCCGUGGAAUCAAAUCUCCAUGUAUAAAAAUAAACCUAGAAACUUUCUGUUCACACGUUUUGAGGUAUGUGCACCAAAUGACACACUUUGGGAGGUAAGCACGAGUCAUGGUAACUGACCACAUCCUUUAUCUUUUCAUCCUAAGACUUAGCAGAACUUUAUCUUUACAAUAAAAUGGCCUUUAGAAGUGGGUAUCACCAACUUCAGAAUGUGAACAUCGUUACUGAGAAAAAGCAUUUUCCUUUUAAACAGAAACCAACAGCCAUGCAUUAAAAGGCCUGAGGAAAAAAAAAAAAGUGGAGCUACCACAAAACAAACAAAUAUUCAGCUUGGUUUCAGGAAGCUUAGAGAGGAUCAAACAAGGCUUUCUCUAUUGAAGUUGUUCGAGAACAUUUAUGGUUAUUUCAGCUUCAGUUUCUAUUUACGCUGCUGGCUUUUAUGCCUCGACCUCAGGAGGGCAUUCCAACUUCAGGUUAACUCACAAGUAGCUUCAGAAAAGUUGGCCUGAAAAUCCCACCCCCAGAGUGGGGGAGGGGAAAGCACGAUGGUUCACAUUGGUUUCCAAACACCUUUCAAACCACUGCUUUGGCCUUGAGUCGAGGAUAUCUCAAAAAUUGGGGAGAGAAAUUCCACGGAGAGAGGGUGAGAAAGGUUUCUCAUGGUGUGAACAUUCAUAUAGGGAGACUGUCUCUUCCUGCGGGAUGAAACCAGGAGAAGAGAGCACCAAUUUGCGGAGCCCUCGUGAAGGUUUCCACUCAGGAGUUUGCAAUUUUCUGUUGGUCCCUAGGGAGGAAGAUUUAGUACAUGGUUGAAUUUCCAAGCAAAUUAACUUCCAGAAUAAAGGAGGAACUAUGCCAACCCUUUGCAAACAAUAUUUUUGUUUUAUAAAUCUAUUUAGUUUUCAAUUCUUCGUGCCAUUUAUCCUCAUAACCAUGUUUUGGUUGGUAUUUUUAAUCCCCUUUUGAUGGAUUAGGAAAUUGAGGUUUAGAGAUUAAGAAACAAGCCCAAAGUUAUACAAUAAAUACAUAGAAAAGCUAAGAUUCAAACCCGGGUCCUUUUGCCUCUAAUGUCCGAGUCCCUUCCAAUACGCCACACAGCCCCUGACCACUCCCUUCCGUUAACAAUGCAUAUUGUCAGCGGUGGAAAGAGGAAGAAACUUUUGGAGUAGAAUACUGAACAGUUUUGAUUAGGGAGCGGAUGUGAGGCAGAGGAAAUAUUAUCACUUUGGUGGUUGUUACUAUGUCCCCAUCCUUUCAUGGAAACAUAUGGAAGUUUUCUCUUAAACGUACAUGUCAGAACUUGCCGGUGAAAUUUAAGUGACACCCUGCAUAUGGUGCAAGUUCAUCUCCGAGAAGCAAGAGAUGAAAAAGCCGCUGUUUCCAGAUGUAUCAAAUCUCAUAUAAAUACCACACGUUGCUUGCCUCUGGAGAAGGUCUCAGUAAGGUUUGUCCAGAUUUCAACAUAGAGUAUUCCUAUUUACAUAUGUCCCGCUGCAUACAUACUUAGCUAUGUCAAUAUCCACUUGGCAUACUCUGGAGCUUAGAAAAAGUUUCCUGCCGAAGCUGAACAGCUUCCCUUGAUUGCUCCUUUGCAAACCUUCAUGGUUUUUUCAUUGUAACAGAUUUUUGAUUACACAAAACAUGCCACUAUUCUAUGGAACAAAAUCAAGCUACAUCCCUUUACCCAACCGCCCUUCCCCCAUAACAUCAAUACCAAAAAGGCUUCCACUCCAGGGGGCUUCUGGGAGCAUUCCCACAAACCACACAGCUUUCUGCACCCUCCUUCAGCCCCAGUCUUUUUAAAAGUUAGUACAACAUGUCCAUAAAGGCCACUCUCCCUUGCAGAGUUUUGAACAGCCACUUUAGCCACCUAAAUCUGAGAGAGAUAAAUUUACAAUCCACUUUAGGUUUAUGUGGGGAACCAUAAAUAUCAGGCUUGAGCCCUGAGGGCUAGAAUUUCAUGGGCCGUUAAGCAUGUCACCAGGUGGAAAGCUGUCAAUAGCUGGAUGUGAGCUACACUGAGAUAACCACAGGGGCCUGGCUUAAGAAAGUGUAGCCCUGAUCAAAGAGGGGUGUCCUUUUACCUUGUUCCAUCACUCCACUCACCAAUUCUCCCUUCCCGCCUCUGAUCUCAACCUCUCCUUCACUUCCUGUUAGGUGUCCUCUGUGCUAGGUAGCAGACUGCCUUUUUUUUUUUUUCCUCUAGAGUGAAAGGUUGGGUGACAUAUGGAAAGAACAAGAGACGUGCAGUUCUGGCAGACCUUGAUUUAAAUCCUCGCCCUGCUAUUUAGUAGCUAUGUAAUAAUGCACAAGUUACUUAACCCAACUUAGCUCAUUUUUCCAACUGUGAAAUUAUUAAAGAUAAUUAAAAGCAUAAGAAAGGCAUAAGUAGGGCCAAUGGGUAGAGACUGUAAAAAAACAGAUUGCCUACUUAGUAGACAGAAGAACUUUCUAAAAGCCAGAUUGGCUCGAAAAUAGAAUGGGCUGCCUUGAAAAGAAAUGAAGAAGUGAAUAUUCUCUGUGACAGGUUUUGCGCAUAAGCCGGAUGCAGGGUGGUAGAUCCCGAGAAUAGACAGGAGUUUAGACUGGCCACUGCAAAGGAUUUCUAAUCUUGAAAUUCCAUGGUUCUAUGAUUUGCAUAUGUGUCCUUCCAGAAAAGCUAAGAUAAAUCUUCUCAAAUCCCCUAUGCGGAAGAAAAGUAAAUUGGCAUCAUAUUUUUUCAUUUUCAUUUUCCUUCUAGAAAACUAAUCCCUUCCAUGUUUUCCCCCUUCCCUCAAUUAGUUGGUAGAGAAUCCCAUUUCCAUCAAGUGCACAGAACACAUUUAACCAUUUUGAAACACUUAACAUUUAACACAAACCACAUGGCCGUAAGUUUUAAUUAGUUCCCGCUAUACAAAUAGGUCCAUUUUUAGAAAAAUCAAAAUGCUCAAUGCUGGUGCUUGCUCUCUUCCUCUCCAUUGUUUCUCUGUUUGACUAGCUCAGUGGCACUUUCCCAUCCUGCCCUCUUGCUGUCUGAGCCCAUGGCACCUGCCAAUAAAAGUGAUGACAGGCUUUGAUGCUCACACAGGUUUGCAACAACAGAGUUCACUUCAUAAUCACCAGACUUCAGCCCGUAAGCGUGAUCUGAGUGACACUGGAUUUUUUACCUGAGAUGUUACGCUGUGGGCUUUCGUUUCUACAGGUUAUGAACCACUUUGAAAGUGAUUUUUUUAGCUUGCUAGGGGGAAUGACCUAUGAGCCUGCAGACAAAUCUCAACUGAUUGGGCAAAGCCCAAACCCUUAUUAGAGUGCUUGAGUUUGCUGGGAAAACUGGCUGCCACAUAUGAGCCACAGAUACAAGGUCGUCCUUUGGCAUAAUGUGUACAGGUGCAUGCGUGUGUGUGUGUGUGUGUGUGUGUGUGUGUGCGUAUUUGAACAUGUUCAGGUCAUGAAGCAAAUCAGAAGUACAAACCAGUGUCUUCUGUUUGGCCAAAGUGAAUAUCAAGGGAAACCACAGAAGACAAAGUGCACUCGUACAACAAGGAGUGAUGGGAGGGCUAAGCCUAGGGCUCCCGUCCUCACCCUCAUCACAAAGUGACUGCUAUGAAUGACUGCAUGUUGAUUGGCCAGGCAUGGAGGAAGCACAUACUUAUACCAACAUGUUAUUUAUUCGGCCAGAUAUUAUUAUCUUACUUUUACGGAUAAGACUCAAAAAGAUUAAAUAACCUGCCCACAGCCACAUUACUUGUAGGUGGUUGUGAUGGAAGUUGAGCCCAUGGUAAUGGACUUUUCAUGGCACUGUCUACUUUCAGAGGCUUUCUCAGCUCAGAGUCCGACUGUGUCUGCCUCUCAAGCCCUGUUUCAGCCACCUUGUCUCAUUUUUUUUUUACUCUGAUAUCAUAUUUCCUACAAAUAGUGGCCAAAUUCUUCCUUCUCCAUGUUGGCUGUCUUAUUUGCCUAAUGUUAUGAUUUGUGUUUCAGAUACCCUAGGGUAUCAUGUUUUUCAUCUUUUGAGUGUCCAAAACUACAAACAGCUUUAGGGUCAAUUAAAAUCUCAACAGGAGCAAGGAUUCUAUCAGGAGACCCUGACCUUUGCAGCCAACACUUUACAUGAAGAAGCAGCUUCUCUUCUUCUCCCGUGAAGGCCGCCUCUUUAGAUAGCUGGGAUUUAGCAUGCCUGUCAUUUUAGUCAAAGGAGCUGCUGAAUAAAGACUUGUUGACCAAAGCUUCUCACCGGCUAAGGACAGAGAAGUCUUAUUUCUUCUCUUUGCAAAUGAAGAUUCCAAUCUUCUCAUCCUGAGACAGGGGUAAUGCAACUGUUUUGAUUUGUACCCUAAAAUGUUCCAUGGUACACUGAACUGUUUUCAAGGUAGAGUUUUAGAAGAGGCCGAUUUAUUUUUGACCUUGACACAAUUUGAAUUUAACAAACAUUUUUCCCAUAUUUCACUUUACACAUUUGUUUGCACUGAAACUGCAUGACUAGAAUAAAGCAUUCAAAACAAAGCAGGCAAGCAAGCAAGCAAACAGAAACCCAUCCCACUUCUCCCUUGCUAUGCAACUAGGCAAGUAGACCCGAGGCUCUCUGAGAUUUGAAAUGCUGUGUUCCUUAACGCAGUAAACUGAGUAAUGUGUCCCCACCCCCACUCCCCAAUGUCCACAUCUUAAUUCCCGGAACCUACAAAUAUGUUAUUUUAGGCAAAAGGGACUUUGCAGCUGUGAUUAAAUUAAGGAUCUGGAGAUGGGGAGAUUAUUCUGGAUUAUCUGGGUGGGCUCAAUGUAAUCACAGGGUCCUUAUAAGAAGUAGACAAGAGGGUGAAACACAGAAGGUGAUGUGACCAUGGAAGCAGAGGGACAGAAGUAGACUGGACGAUGCUACGUCGCUGACUUUGGAGACAGAGGAAGGAGCCAUGAGACAAGGAAUCCAGGUAGCCUCUAAAACUGGAAGUCGGGAAGCAGAUAUUCCCCUAGAGCCUCCUGAAGGAACUGGCUGAGUGUUAGCUCAAUAAAACUGGGUUUGUACUUCUGAUCUCUGGAACUUUAAGAGAAUAGUUUUGCAUUGUUUUAAGUCCCGAGUUUGUGGUAUUUUGUUAUAAAAGCCAUAGGAAACGAAUACACUUGUUUACCACUUACUGCAUCUCUUAUGUCUAGUAUUGGGCUUGGUAUAUGAGAUGGACUCGUAAAGUAAUAUUUGUUGGAUGCACUGAAAAUAUAAGGGAAAGAUGUCAUGAGAAUGGAAUGUACCAAAUUCAUGGCAACUUUUUAAAUUUUUAUUUAUUUAUUUAUUUAUUUUUGAGACAGAGUCUCACUCUGUCGCCCUCAUGGAAACUUUUCUGAUUUAAAAAAUUCUCUCUUUCUUAGGAUGAAAGAAACAUUCCUUUAAGGCUCAGAAGGGUGUACAGUUACCCAGAUAUCCAUGGCAAGGCCCCAGCGGUUACAGAGUUGUGUUUGAGCCCUUCAGGCCUAGCAAGCUCUUUCCUGGGAGCAAGUAAAGGAGACAUAGGCCAUGAUAAACAGCACUUAGCGGCCAAUUGCUUUAAGAAUACCUGUUUAGUGUUUCCAGGGACUCAAAGCUCCAGGGGGACAAGCAGGAAGGAGAGGCAGUGUCAAUUACUGUACAAUACAAUUAGCAAAUACCAGCACCUUGAGGAAUGUUUGGUAUACAGUAGGCAGUCAGGAAGCAAAUGCUAGAAUGAAUGUCAUUCAGAGCGUGUGACCCCUUUCUCCUAAAGCUUCCUACAGUAGAAGUCAGUCUCCUACUACUUCUACCUUCUCUGUCUCUUUGGAUGUUCAUUUUCGUCGGAUUUUACUCAUACCUGCUGAAGAAGGGCAAAGGGGAGUACCUUUCAACCUCAGACACAGACACAUGUAUUUGUCAACAGGCCACACAUAUUCUGGGCACAGGGACUGCAGACCAUAGCAACGUACCUCACCUUUUCUGAGACCCUCAUCCUUGUUCAGUAUUUGUAAGCCUUUUAAUUUAAAGAAAAAUAAAUUAAGCCAUGCUAGCUGAUUAAAGAAUAAUUUCAAGGAAUUUAACACUUAGUGAUUAUAUUAGCGAUGUACAAUAACUUCUCACUUUGGAUUCUUUUUGAUGUAUUAUGGAGGUAAAAAUCAAUAUUUUCUACCAAACUGGAGAAAUUUAGAUGAUCUAUUUUUGAGAUAUAGGUUCAGAGAAAAAUUGAUGAUAAAGACUGGAAUAACUCUAGUUCCCCCAAGUCAACAUCUGAUUGGCCCUUAGAAUCAGAAUUUAGGAAGAGAGAGGUUUGGGAGACCACGCAGUCCUGCUUCCUCACUUCGCAGAUACGGAAACCAGGCCUAGCUGGAAUUUCCCCAGAUCACACAGCCAGGAAACAGCAGGCUCAAAACUAGGGCCUUCUGAGUCCCCAGUGCAGCAUGCAUAUGUGUCUGCCUUGUUUCAUUAUGUAAUGGUACAGCGAGUUUGGAGGCAUACAAAAACAGACAGACACCAAUCUUGCCUUCAAGGCGUUUACAAUUUAGCAGGGGAGAUAACACAUGUAUAUAAAAAACUUACUAGACAAAGUAAACAGCAGUAUGCUCUAUAAGACAGGUAUGGAUUAAAAAGGAAUCUUUAAGUCAUUGAACCCUGAGAUUCUUUUUUUUUCAUUUUUUAAAACAAUAGUAAUCAAACUUGUGAAAUAGUGAACUUCCUCCAUUUUGCAAGAUUCCUCGAAACCAAGUACUUGGAAUAUAACUUAGUUAAGGAUUGCACAACACACACCAUUUGAGUAUCUGAUUUGGAAAACUAAGCCACAGAGCCAGACCACACAAUGCACACUGGUUGGAAUCUGCUGGGCAGGUAUCUCCCCGUCUGUCCAGGCAAGCCAAAUCAAAUAAGGCCCUGAGUUAAAAAGGAAGGAAAAGUAACAGAUAAAUCUGUUGACCACCACUCUAGGAGGCCAAGGCCUCUUUCCUCCCCAUUAGUGGUGGCUUGCUCUAAGAUAAAAAUACCACACUUAAGCUGUGAUAGAGGAAAGCCCGUGGUUUGGGACCCAACUACAAAGUAACAGCAAAAGAGAGAUUAUUACUCCCUAGUGACUCUCUUUUUGGUAUAAUUAGAAGAAUAGAAAGACCACUGAAGAGUGGGAUUUGUGAGAAAUAUGGGUCAUGUGUCUGCAGCACUAGUUGCUUGCAGAAUUGGCUAUGUGGGUUGGCACACAGCACCGUGAAUAUUAGAAACCACAAAUCUCCAGGGUUUCUUGAACAAAGUAAAAGGCCUUGUCUUCAGAUUGCCAGGUUGGAGGCUGGCUUGUGGAAGAAGCCCCUGGGUGAGCUCCAAAGCUACCUACGCAUUUCUGCCUUCUCCGUCUCUUUCUUCUCCUCCUCCUCUCCCUCUCCCCAUCCCUCUCCUCUUAUUUUGGAUAUUGCAUCUUGGUGGGUCUAACUGUAGCUUUGCUUAUGCCAAUACCCCCCUGCCCCACCCCCUGGGGAAGCAGGCCCUCUCCAUGACAACUGCCGACGCAGAAUCCACAGAGCUCUGGACAAUGGGACAAACCAUAUUUCUAUGAACAAAGCCAAGGUAAGUGGAUUCCUUUGCCCCUGGAGGACUAAAGGAGUUACUCCCCAGUCAGAUUAUGCUGUAAUUGAGGGUCCAGAAAAGGAAUGAACUUCCCUGUGUAGACAACAGAGCCAGUUCUUAAAAAGCUAUGCCAGCGUGCAGACCCUUUAGAAUCUCCUCCUUGGGAGCCUGAAAUGGAAACAAAGUACUUCCCUGUGUUCACCUGUCCAAUCGUUGACUCCUCUGCAGAAUUAUUCUCUUGGGUUGUAAGUAAGCUAAGUCUUCUAUAAGGCAUACUUCAAGAAAAAAAGGAAAACAUAAAAUGAGUUUAUAAAAUCCUAAGGAUUAACUAUACCUUGGACACAGAUAAAUUGCCACGUUUAUCACUGCACUUCCCUUUAUCUCCUCCUGAGAUGCUCUCUCGGUUCCUCCUUCACUGCUCUUCAGGUUCUGGAAUAUUUCUUAGCCAACACUUCAUCCACGGUGACUUCCAGGACCCCCAGUGAGGGGUGGGGAUUCCUAUGUUGUCUCUUUUCUUGGCCUCUCCAUCCAAAAUAUUUAGAUGGUGCAUUCGUGGCCUUUCUCUCUCUCUACCACUGCCUCCUCCAAAAAAAGGAAAAGCGGGGAGUGGCGGGUGGAAGGAGAUUACAUUUUUCUUUCUUUUUUUCUUUUUUUUUUGGAGAUGGAGUCUUGCUCUGUUGUCCAGGCUGGAGUGCAGUGGCGUGAUCUCGGAUCACUGCAGCCUCUGCCUCCUGGGUUCCAGUGAUUCUCCUGCCUCAGCCUCCUGAGUAGGUGGGAUCACAGGUGUGCACCAUCACGCCCAGCUAGUUUCAUCAUGUUGGCCAGGCUGGUCUCAAACUCCUGACCUCAAGUGAUCCGCCCACCUCAGCCUCUGAAAGUGCUGGGAUUACAGGCAUGAGCCACUGUGCCUGGCCCAUUUUCUUCUCUUAUCCUUGGUGCUUUCCAUAUAGUAGGAGGUCAGGGAGAUCAAGGGGAUUCCUGGAUGCAUAAAUAAAAUCUGCAUUUCUUAGGAAUCUGAUGGACAAGAGAAUCCAGAAUCUCUGCAAUGGGCAGAAGAGAGGACCAGACUUCAUGGUUGAUCUCCCCACAGACCAUACCAACAGGGCAAAGCCCUUCUGUAUGUAUUUCUGUUUUCACAUGUAUCUGCACAACCACGUGUUUAGAAAUCAGAGGGUUGCUAUUUGUAAAACUCUUGAAAACCUCUCUUUUAAAUUGUAAAAAUUAUUUAAUAAAUGCCAACCCAAUCUACUUUAUCUCAGUGAGCUGCUAUUAAGUGCAAAGAAGAUAACAUGUUACAGGUAAGUCUGUGCUUAAAGAGCUUUGGCCACAAAGACUAAACAGGGUCCGUUCUCCCAUGUGAAGGAAAAUGUUUCUAUUUCAAUUGUGAUGUUUGGAAUUUCACCUUAAAGUAGAAAAAAGGCACUGUUUCUGUAGUGCCUUUUGGAAAGGCACUGUAGAAGUGGCUGAUGGUCCUUGUGGAAUCAGCUGGCCAAGUGUUUCCUCCUUUCUACCUAGACUGUCAUUGGAGUAUAUUGACCCAUCCCUGACAGAAAGUCUGUGUAAGCCCGAGGAGGAGGAACAUGCCGCAAACCUGCUGCAGAGCAUUAACAAGAACAGAAUUAAAAAGGAUCACUUCUGGGACUCAUCACACAACUUGGAAAUCAUGUUCAAUAAAAGAAAAGAUAAUUUGGGGCCACACUACCUGAAAUGAACAUCUGACACUCAGUCACUGGUCUGGAUUUAGAAAACUGCUUUGAUCCCCGGAGGGAAGAUUGUUAAUGAGUAUUUUAAAGGACAAGAUUGGCGAAGCAUGAUAGAGUGGAAAAGGGUACUGAUUUUGAAGGGUCCCAGUCUUGCUUCCACUUCUGUAAGCAAGUAGAACUGACUUUGAACAAGACACAUUACACUGCCCUGAGAAAACGUCCUCAUCUCUAACAUGGGAGGUGAAGUUAACCCUCUAGUCCAUCCAACAAUCAAAUCUAGGCCUUAAUGACUAUGAAAACAUGGGAAAAAAUUUAAAACAAGAGCAGGUAAUGCUUGCACCUUUUCGCUACCUGAAAGGAAGGUCAGACAACCUUAGUAUAAAAGGUAACUUUUCUUACUUGCAUGCUAACAAUCAAUGCAUAAUUUACAUAGCAAUGCAUACACUUUAUAUAGUUCAAGAGAUCAUCGUUGACUGCCUGAACUUGAUAUGCUUCAUCCUUGUCAUGUCCUCCUCACUAAAUACUAACUACCCAAAGUGAUCAAACCCCAAAUGUAAAAAUAAUCAUCUGAUAAAUCACAGACAACAAGGAGGUGAAAAAAAGAACUCAGUCAAACAUUUUUGAGUUCAUAAAAAAAUUGAAUAGCAUAAUCUACCACUAUGUUCCCAUCCCCCUGCUAAAACAAUAUUUUAUCACUCUGGCUUUAUUUAUUCCCAGUCCUCCCCAACAUACUUAUUUUCUGGAGCAUUUUAAAGUAAAUCUUGGAUAUCUUGUCAUUUCAUCCACAACUACUUCAGUCUUCAUCUCAACUAAUAAGGAUUUUUUAAAAACCACUACCACGACAGUAUUAUGCCUGACAAUAUUAAAAAAUUAUUUACUAUCAUCUAAAGAACCAAUCAAUAUUCAAAUUUCAUCAAUCAUCUAAAAAUUUUUUUUUCUUUCAGUUUUUGGCUUGAAUUAGCAUCUAAACAAGCUAAGAGGUGAAACUGAUUUCACCCAAUUCACAAUCCUUUGUCUUUUAAAUAUUUCUUUUAGACGCUGACAUUACUUAGACACAAUGUAUCUGGAACACAGAUAAUGUGAAGGUCAGCUUCAUCGCAAUAUUAUUUGAAAUGUCUUAUUCUAUGAAUCAGAUAUAAAUGUAGUUAAAGGCUCAGAACUGGAAAAAUCUCAAGUAAUUCUCAGUUUUCCCAAAUGCAUAAAUGAUUUAGGCAACCUUAAUGGAAUGCUUUAAAGAUAUUUUGCUAAAUCUUACACCAUUCCUAGGAAGAAUACCUCUGACAGACUUUAGCAGCUUUUAUUUUGCCCAUAUAAAAGCUGGAUUUCUUAGACCGUGGAGCAGCCUAACAGCACAGAUAGUAUUUUCAGUUGUAGUUUCACCUGCACCUUAAAAAGAAAUCUACCUGCAUAUGCUGGCAACGAGGACAUCUUUGAAAACAGAGCUAAGAGCCUCAAACUGUCAACUCCGACUUUUGGGAAGAAGGGAGGUGAACAGUUUCUCCAUUCAGCUUCCAUGAGGCCUCUCUGGUAACACACAGGCACUGCUGUGACUCAUAACCAGAAAUACUGUUUUAUAACACCAGUCUGUGUUUUGUAACACACACUGAAAGAAAAAAAAAACUAUUUAGAAACCAAAACCAAGCCCUACAUCUGGGCAUUGGUAUCAAGAUCUCAAGAUGUCAGAGUGGCUAUUUAAUUCAGAUAAAGUAGGCAAGUCCUUAUCCCUUUCCUUGGCAAGAAAGUGGAGGCUUCCUGCCUGCUGCACAUGCCCACAGGAGGAGCAACCAUGAAUUUAAUUUUCUUAAAACAGAAGCAUUUUCAGACUUGUGUUUUCCUGGACAGCUGCCUAGUGGCUGUAAUCCAUAAUAAGGGCGUGUAAUUGACAGUAAUGUGAAUCACUCACUGAAAUUCUGGCAAAAAAAAAAAAUAGAGGAGUUAUUUUUUUUUUUUUUCAGGAAAAAAUUAAAGAGCAGAUUCAUCCUGUCCAUUGAAAAUAGCAAUUACUUUACAUUUCAGCUCAUUAGCUACCUUUAUAUAAAAAAAUCACUGUAAUUUGUACUAACUAUCAGCAAGUGUUGUAAAGAAGUGGUGCAGUUGCACAAGGCAUGCAAUCGGAUGUGCUGGGCCAGGCACAAUCUGUAAAAUGGCAAAUGUAGAUGAGUUACUUGAUAUAGCAUACAUGGGAUUCCUGGCCCAAGAGUGAGUUACAGGACACUGUCCUAACAGUGAUUUUGCCACUUAAAAAGCUGCUAUCUGCCUGGGACCUUGUAAUUAUUAUGGUAAUACCCAGGGCAGACUGAUCAAGCUGCCAUUGAUGUCUAUGGGCAGUUUCAGAAUUCCUUUCACUCAGACACAGGGAUCUCCAAAAGAAUGGUUGGGGAUUUUCCCAGGUAGAAGCUGUUGGAACCAUGGAAACUUUGAGACCAGGUAAAGGGUUUCUCCCAUCUAUUAAUUCUCUUUGAAUAAGGGGAAGAAUAAUCUCAAUUAACUUCACUAUCAACCUGAAAGGGCCCCCUCUUUUCCAAGGCAGAGGCACGGGAACUAAACACUGGAAAGCUACGGAAGAUUUAAUUCCAUUUAGAUAAACCCUGACUCCAUCAGAACCCGAGAGGUUCAGAUAUUUUUCUGAAACUUCAGCACCUGUGAAACUAGCAGCCCUUGUCCAGAACUACCUGGUAUCUCAAGCUUCUGGUCCCAGAGGGAACAGGGGUAUUUUGACUUGUGAAAAUCCCACGAAUGCAUGGAGAAAAACUUGGGACUUUAGAAUGCUGAGGUCUGUGUUAGGAAGAUGUAUAUUGAACCAAAGAGUGGAAACACUUAACCUCUUUUUCUCAGUCAACCACACUCUAUGAAGAAGGCUUGGAUUUAUUUUCUCCUAUUGGGAUCUCCCAUUCUUAGAAGAAAAAUGGAAGUCAGAUUUCAUUAAAAUAGAGGUAAUGUUGGGAUUUUGAUGAAUGAAACUAAAAUUCAUUUUGUGCUUUAUCAUUAAUUAUUUCUGAGAAGCUUUUUCUCAUAUGACAACAGUUGGGGGAUGGUAUUAUUAGCUUAUGAUGGUUCCCAUCUUUGAUAGCCACCACUAAUCUCCUACUUAAUUCUGGCUUAAUUUGCAAGUAGUUGCUAACAGGCAAAAUGAGGGUGGAGUCUCAUAAACCACUAAAAAGAGAGACUUGCUAUGCAUAUAAAUAGGCCCUGCAAAAAUAUUUCAGAUACUGUAUCUCAAUUAUUAGACAGUAGCAAACUGUCAAAAUCUAAAAAGUAACAUGGAAUAUGUAUAACUAGUUCUUUGCAGGCAUUCUUUUUGUUCCUAUAUGAAUACAUUUUAUGUGAGCCCAAAUGGUUGGAAAUGUAUUAUUCAUUUUUAUAAUUGAGAAAAAUGUGUUAACGCUCUGGAAUGUCCAUGUGUGGAAAAAUAAAACGUUAUAUGGAAUUGCACACACAUAUGAUUUAUAAUGCAUGCUUCCAGGACCAGAAAUCCUAACGAAGAACCUUAUUCAACAGAAAAAAACAUUUUUUUUUCUUCAGUAUGUGCAAUUCUGGUAUACUGUAAUGCUGAGGCCAAGCAUAUAUUUUAUUAGUUUAAAUCCUAGCUAAGCAAUAAAAUAUGUGUCAUUUUAAAUAAAAGAAAACAUGUUUUUCACAAAA